UACACACCGCCCGUCACACCAUGGGAGCGGGUUCUGCCAGAAGUAGUUAGCCUAACCGCAAGGAGGGCGCUUACCACGGUGUGGUCAAUGACUGGGGUG
rnacentral:rRNA from 1 species